AUAUGCUUGUCUCAAAGAUUAAGCCAUGCAGGUGCAAGUACGAUCGAUACAAAGAGAAACUGCGAAUGGCUCAUUAGAUCAGUUAUAAUUUUCUGGAUCGUACGAUCCCUACGUGGAUAACUGUGGUAAUUCUAGAGCUAAUACAUGCAACGAAGCUCCGACCCUCGGUCGGAGCGCUUUUAUUAGUUGAAACCACCGAGCCUCGUGCUCGUCGAUGGUGACUCUGGAUAACGCUGCUGAUCGCUAGGUCUGUGACCAGCGACAAAUCCAAAAAGUAUCUGCCUUAUCAGCUAGUAGGUGGUCGACCUGACCACCUAGGCUACCACGGGUAGCGGGGAAUCAUGGGUUUGAUUCCGGAGAGGGAGCAUGAGAAACGGCUACCACGUCCAAGGAAGGCAGCAGGCACGCAACUUACCCAUUCCCGACACGGGGAGGUAGUGACGAAAAAUACCAAUACGGGACUCUGUCGAGGCUCCGGCAUUGGAAUGAGUACACUUUAAAUCCUUUGCCAAGGAUCAAUUGGAGGGCAAGCC
rnacentral:rRNA from 1 species